GAUGAACGCUGCCAGAAUGCUUAACACAUGCAAGUCCACUUGAAUUUGGGUUUUUACCUUAGGUUUGGGUGGCGGACGGGUGAGUAACGCGUAAAGAACUUGCCUCACAGCUAGGGACAACAUUUGGAAACGAAUGCUAAUACCUAAUAUUAUGAUAAUAGGGCAUCCUAUAAUUAUGAAAGCUAUAAGCGCUGUGAGAGAGCUUUGCGUCCCAUUAGCUAGUUGGAGAGGUAACGGCUCACCAAGGCGAUGAUGGGUAGCCGGCCUGAGAGGGUGAUCGGCCACAAGGGGACUGAGACACGGCCCUUACUCCUACGGAGGCAGCAGUGGGGAAUAUUGGACAAUGGACCGAGAGUCUGAUCCAGCAAUUCUGUGUGCACGAUGAAGUUUUUCGGAAUGUAAAGUGCUUUCAGUUGGGAAGAAACAAAUGACGGUACCAACAGAAGAAGUGACGGCUAAAUACGUG
rnacentral:rRNA from 1 species